rnacentral:rRNA from 1 species
GACGAACGCUGGCGGCGUGCUUAACACAUGCAAGUCGAACGGAAAGGCCCUGCUUUUGUGGGGUGCUCGAGUGGCGAACGGGUGAGUAACACGUGAGUAACCUGCCCUUGACUUUGGGAUAACUUCAGGAAACUGGGGCUAAUAUCGGAUAGGAGCUCCUGCUGCAUGGUGGGGGUUGGAAAGUUUCGGCGGUUGGGGAUGGACUCGCGGCUUAUCAGCUUGUUGGUGGGGUAGUGGCUUACCAAGGCUUUGACGGGUAGCCGGCCUGAGAGGGUGACCGGCCACAUUGGGACUGAGAUACGGCCCAGAAUCCUACGGGAGGCAGCAGUGGGGAAUAUUGCACAAUGGGCGGAAGCCUGAUGCAGCAACGCCGCGUGCGGGAUGACGGCCUUCGGGUUGUAAACCGCUUUCGCCUGUGACGAAGCGUGAGUGACGGUAAUGGGUAAAGAAGCACCGGCUAACUACGUG